rnacentral:rRNA from 1 species
AAAUUGAAGAGUUUGAUCAUGGCUCAGAUUGAACGCUGGCGGCAGGCCUAACACAUGCAAGUCGAACGGUAACAGGAAGCAGCUUGCUGCUUCGCUGACGAGUGGCGGACGGGUGAGUAAUGUCUGGGAAACUGCCUGAUGGAGGGGGAUAACUACUGGAAACGGUAGCUAAUACCGCAUAAUGUCGCAAGACCAAAGAGGGGGACCUUCGGGCCUCUUGCCAUCGGAUGUGCCCAGAUGGGAUUAGCUUGUUGGUGGGGUAACGGCUCACCAAGGCGACGAUCCCUAGCUGGUCUGAGAGGAUGACCAGCCA